rnacentral:rRNA from 1 species
AGGACGAACGCUGGCGGCGUGCCUAACACAUGCAAGUCGAACGGGACUUAAUGGAAAGCGACUUCGGUCAAUGGAAGUUAAGUUUAGUGGCGAACGGGUGAGUAACGCGUGAGAAACCUGCCUUUCAGUGGGGGACAACAGUUGGAAACGACUGCUAAUACCGCAUAAUGUAUUCGGGGGGCAUCCUCUGAACACCAAAGCUUUAUGUGCUGAAAGAUGGUCUCGCGUCUGAUUAGCUAGAUGGCGGGGUAACGGCCCACCAUGGCGACGAUCAGUAGCCGGUCUGAGAGGAUGAACGGCCACAUUGGGACUGAGAUACGGCCCAGACUCCUACGGGAGGCAGCAGUGGGGAAUAUUGGGCAAUGGGGGAAACCCUGACCCAGCAACGCCGCGUGAAGGAAGAAGGCCCUCGGGUUGUAAACUUCUUUUAGUAGGGACGAAGAACGUGACGGUACCUACAGAAAAAGCAACGGCUAACUACGUG